AGGGUAAGAAGGGGUAGAGAAAAUGCCUCGAGCCAAUGUUCGAAUACCAGGCGCUACGGCGCUGAAGUAACCCAUGCCAUACUCCCAGGAAAAGCUCGAACGACGUUAAGCAAGAGGGUACCUGUACCCGAAACCGACACAGGUGGGUAGGUAGAGAAUACCUAGGGGCGCGAGACAACUCUCUCUAAGGAACUCGGCAAAAUAGCCCCGUAACUUCGGGAGAAGGGGUGCCUCCACCCACCCUAUUUGUUCCAUGAUCUAUGGGUCUACUGGAGCUACCCACUUCGAUCAAUUAGCCAAGAUUUUGACCGGAUACGAAAUCACUGGUGCUCGAUCUAGUGGUAUUUUUAUGGGGAUUCUAUUUAUCGCUGUAGGAUCCCUAUUCAUGAUGAGCUUGAGUCGAGUCACAAAAAAGGGUAUGAUGAGCUUGAGUCGAUUAUUUCCAAGAUCGAAUUCCAGUUUUUUCUUAUGUAGUGGAAACGCCCUACAAUCUGAAGUUUUAAUGGACCGUUUGUGCCAGAGCUAGACAUCCUUGGCUCUUGAAAAGGGUCCUUCCUUAAGGACCAUUGGUUGGUCUUUGGGGAUGUUUUCCCCUAAAAUUUCCCACCCAAUUAUAUUUCUAUAAAAUUUUAGGACCUCUCACAUGAAUUUCAUCAAAAACGAACAUAUAAAGCCCGAUGAAACAUGCAUAGAUACACAAGGUCGUUUCAAGGAAAAAAAUUCUAAUGUCAUGGACGUUCUUAGAUGUCUGACCUCAAAAAAUCAAGAAACUUGAAAAAUGGCCUUUAAACACUAUAAUAAAACAUAUCAAGACCUAAUUAAAUCAUAAAACACACAUAUAUGAAGAUAACCAUAGAAGAGGAACAUAGGUGACUUAGUCGUCGAAUGUCAUAGCCGUCCCUUAACAUUUCACUUCCAAAUCACCUAAAACUCUUGACAUUGAUUCAAUACCAUAUUAUAAACAAUUGUACGACCUUAUACACUUAUAAAAACUAUGUUUGUCUCAAUAUUAACCUAAGUAAUUUGAGGGGUGUUAUAUUCUCCUCUACAUGGACAAUAUUCAUCCUCAAAUGACACUUUGCCACUGUCCGAACAAUUCUAAGAAUAAAGAUUCAAAUUAACAGAUCAUAACCAUACCAUAUAAUAUCUCAUAAAAAUACAAACAUCAAAUAAAUUCUAAAACUCACUAUGGUAUAAAACUCACAUCCUUCAUUCCAAAUAGUAAAAACUUAUUUUAUAUUCAAUAUCAUUCUAAUAUACAUCAUUUAUAACCAUAUGUUCAAAAAUCUCACAGUGAACUGGCAGUACAAUACAGAAAAUUAAGCAAUUUUUCAAAUAAUACUACUUUUAGGGAAUUGAUGAUUGAACCAUGCUAAUAUGCUACAUAGAACCACAUAAACACAUAUUACAACAUAAUAAUAACUUCAUGGAAUGCACAAUGAAAGGAAUCGAUGAAAUUUAAUUUCAACAAGAUCGCUAAACACAAUGCAGCAUGCAACAUGAUUCUAUGACUUUCUACUCUCAAGUUUGAGUUAAAUAAAAGUAAUGAAACAGUUAAUCAAGACUCCUUUACUCACCAUACUCCCUCACUUAUAAGAACUCAUAACACUAAAUGAAUGAACUAUUACUUACCAACAUCAUCAUCAUCAUCCUUAUCCGUCUUUUCUCCUCUUGCCUAGAGUGCAUAGAAGCGAGCCUUUGCCUUUCAAACAUUAUGAGCAACUUUCUUACCCUCUCUUCCUCUAUCCGCAAUAGUAGGACAAUAUCUCACCUUAUGAUCAUCCGUUCCACAACUAAAGCAACCACUAGUACCGGAUUGACACUUCCCAUAGUGCCUUUUUCCACAAGUGACACAUGUAGGAUUUUCCUUUUGAGAACCACGUCCUCUUUCAAAUUUCACCUUAGCUCCUAGGUCCUUCUUGAGUUUGAGCCCUCUUCUUGGAACUAGGUUGAUUUUUUUCACUUGAGCCACUCCCUUUUAAGUUUCUAGCGAUCCUCUUAAGUUUGAACUCUUCAAUUGAUUUGGCAUACACCAUCAGUCUAAUAGAGUGAUAUCGUCAUGUACUAUGUCGUACAAUAGUCUUCCCUCACUAGAUCGGCAACACCCUUCACGAAUGUACACAUCUCAUUCCUCGGAUUAGACACAAAGGAUGGGACAAAUUUGGAAAGCAUAGUAAACUUCAAAGAGAUUAAUGAACUCAUCUACUUUAACUUCCCUCCUCUCACGGGGAAAGUACUUCCCAAGAAAAACUUCCUUAAAUUCCUCCCACUCAAUAGGUAGCGACUCAACUGUCCUAUUGCCUUUACAUUGUGUAUACCACACUUGAGAAAUAUCUUUCAAUUGAUACGAAUCCAGCUCCGCUUUCUCCCUAGAAGUCGCUCCCAUAACAUGCACUAUCUUAUACACCUAAUCAAUAAACUCUUGGGCAUCCUCUCCCACCUUAGAGCCAAUAAAUAUAGGAGGAUUCAUCCUCACAAAGUCUCUCAACCUAAAGGUCAUAGUUCUCUCCAUAAAAUUCAUCCUAGUCACCAUACUUAAAUUCAUUUGAGUAGUCACGACUCAGGCUAAGGGAAGUAGAGCCUCUCUAAUCUCUUUACUAGUCAAUUCCAGCGAAACCACUGAAGCAUCAUUAACUCCUUCCACAAUAAGGACUUGAUCACCUUGGAGAGGCACUUGACUACCUUAAGGAACUUGCUCAACAUGAGGAGGAAUCUCCUCAUUCACAUCAUUCUCCUCAACUCUCCUAGAAGGUGUCCUCCUCGUAUUCAUCUUCCUAAAAAUACAAGUAAAACCAUAAGAAAAGAGUACUCAUAAAAGUUUACUCUACAACAUGACAUAGGAGUAGAAAAGAAGGGAAACUCUAUCAUCCUAUAGCCUUAGGCCCAUAGAUGUGUUACGACUCACACCAAUGGUCAAGCCUUUACUAGACGUGGCUUUAUGAGACUUUUUGAUUUCUAAGACUAUUUUCAUAAACCUAUGCUCUGAUACCAAUCUUGUCACAUCUCGAAACCACUCAUCAGAAGAUAUGACAUCCUCAAAAUUCAACCAGCAUACUUGACCUCUCAGAGGUCUUGUACAAGCCCUUCUCGUAUAGUUCAUUGCAUAAACACGUAUGAAAAGUAGUACAUAUUUAAAACUUUUCACAAGGAUAUCAUAAAGCAUCUUUUCAUAUAAAAUCAUAGAAAUGCUAAGUCAUAACAUGUUCCAUCAUUAUACUCAAGAAUACUUGGGACACGACCCAUACAAUACUAAUAUAGAAAAUACUUAGUCUAUUACACUACUUUGAAAUAAAAGACAUAUAUGAACGCCGUCGAGUCAAUUGAGGACAUACUUCACUUCGCUUGAAUGAAUCUAGAAUCCAAAAUUUUCUUCACUAUCUUCUCACCUUUCACCUACACCUUUAGAGAUAAAUAAAUGUGUGGAGUUAGUACAAACAUUUGUACUAAGUAUGGCUUUAUGCAUAAAAUCAUGAAAAAUAUACAUUUUAUUAGGAACAUGCUCUUUUUCAUUGAAACAUCAUAUCAUAAUUAUAAUAAUAACAUUUAACAACUUAGAAACACAUAAGAAAUCACUUGGACCAUUUAUCACAUUUUUAGAAAUCUUUAAAGUGAACUAUGUUACUUCACAAUGACUAUUCCUGAAGGUUAUAGUGAAGUUUCUCAACUUCACAAGGAACUUUUUAUGGCAUACAAACCUCUCACUAGAACCUAUCUUAAGACUCAGUUAAGUAAGGCAAAGAGAAACCGCCCAUACACACACUCUAGGCACACCUAAAUAAUCCUUAAGACCAUCUAUAAUAAGAUCAUCACACACUCAAAAGACAUCAUACACAUGAACAUGACAUUCUUUUUCCAACUGCUAACAAAAGACUUACUAAGGGAAAUCAAGAAGACAACGUCCAUGAUUGACCUAUUCAAGAU
rnacentral:lncRNA from 1 species